ACUCCUACGGGAGGCAGCAGUAAGGAAUAUUGGACAAUGGGCGAAAGCCUGAUCCAGCCAUCCCGCGUGCAGGAUGACCGGCCCUAUGGGGUUGUAAACUGCUUUUGUUUGAGAAGAAACGCCUGGUAUUAUCCGGGCCUGACGGUAUCUUACGAAUAAGCACCGGCUAACUCCGUGCCAGCAGCCGCGGUAAUACGGAGGGUGCAAGCGUUAUCCGGAAUCACUGGGUUUAAAGGGUGAGCAGGCGGAUAAAUAAGUCAGAGGUGAAAUCUUGCAGCUUAAACUGUAAAACUGCCUUUGAUACUGUUUAUCUUUGAAUUAGGUUGAGGUCAGCGGAAUGUGACAUGUAGCGGUGAAAUGCGGAGAUAUGUCAUAGAACACCAAUUGCGAAGGCAGCUGACUGGGCCUUAAAGUUGACGCUGAGUCACGAAAGCGUGGGAGCGAACAGGAUUAGAUACCCCUGGUAGACUGUCA
rnacentral:rRNA from 1 species